rnacentral:rRNA from 1 species
AGUCGAGCGAAGUCUUCGGACUUAGCGGCGGACGGGUGAGUAACGCGUGGGAACAUACCCUUUGGUACGGAAUAGCCUCGGGAAACUGGGAGUAAUACCGUAUGUGCCCUUCGGGGGAAAGAUUUAUCGCCAUUGGAGCGGCCCGCGUUAGAUUAGCUAGUUGGUGGGGUAAAGGCCUACCAAGGCAACGAUCCAUAGCUGGUUUGAGAGGAUGAUCAGCCACACUGGGACUGAGACACGGCCCAGACUCC